rnacentral:rRNA from 1 species
GAUGAACGCUGGCGGCGUGCCUAAUACAUGCAAGACGAGCGAACAGACGAGGAGCUUGCUCCUCUGACGUUAGCGGCGGACGGGUGAGUAACACGUGGAUAACCUACCUAUAAGACUGGGAUAACUUCGGGAAACCGGAGCUAAUACCGGAUAAUAUAUUGAACCGCAUGGUUCAAUAGUGAAAGACGGUUUUGCUGUCACUUAUAGAUGGAUCCGCGCCGCAUUAGCUAGUUGGUAAGGUAACGGCUUACCAAGGCAACGAUGCGUAGCCGACCUGAGAGGGUGAUCGGCCACACUGGAACUGAGACACGGUCCAGACUCCUACGGGAGGCAGCAGUAGGGAAUCUUCCGCAAUGGGCGAAAGCCUGACGGAGCAACGCCGCGUGAGUGAUGAAGGUCUUCGGAUCGUAAAACUCUGUUAUUAGGGAAGAACAAAUGUGUAAGUAACUAUGCACGUCUUGACGGUACCUAAUCAGAAAGCCGCGGCUAACUACGUG